rnacentral:tRNA from 1 species
AAGUGAGAAGCAAAUGUUGCAGUCAGUUUCGACCUGGCCUUUGGUAAUAAUUUACCCUUACUUU